rnacentral:misc_RNA from 1 species
AACAAGGCGUACCUGCGGACCUGCGGAAGGAUCAUUACUGAGUGAGGGCCUUCGGGCUCGACCUCCAACCCUUUGUGAACACAACUUGUUGCUUCGGGGGCGACCCUGCCGUUUCGACGGCGAGCGCCCCCGGAGGCCUUCAAACACUGCAUCUUUGCGUCGGAGUUUAAGUAAAUUAAACAAAACUUUCAGCAACGGAUCU